GACGGAGGGUGCAAGCGUUGUUCGGAAUCAGUGGGCGGAAAGAGCGGGUCGGCGGCCGGUUAAGUCAGGUGUGAAAGCCCGGGGCUCAACCUCGGAAGUGCACUUGAAACUGGUCGGCUUGAGUUCGGGAGAGGGAAGCGGAAUUCCUGGUGUAGAGGUGAAAUUCGUAGAUAUCAGGAGGAACACCGGUGGCGAAGGCGGCUUCCUGGACCGAAACUGACGCUGAGACGCGAAAGCGUGUUGAGCAAACAGG
rnacentral:rRNA from 1 species